GAUCAUGUGGCCUAGUGGUUAGAGCGUCAGCCUUGGAUACAGAAGGUCGCGGGUUAAAACCCAGGCCGAUUCA